GAUGAACGCUGGCGGCGUGCCUAAUACAUGCAAGUCGAGCGAACGGACGAGAAGCUUGCUUCUCUGAUGUUAGCGGCGGACGGGUGAGUAACACGUGGAUAACCUACCUAUAAGACUGGGCUAACUUCGGGAAACCGGAGCUAAUACCGGAUAAUAUUUUGAACCGCAUGGUUCAAAAGUGAAAGACGGUCUUGCUGUCACUUAUAGAUGGAUCCGUGCUGCAUUAGCUAGUUGGUAAGGUAACGGCUUACCAAGGCAACAAUGCAUAGCCGACCUGAGAGGGGGGUCAGCCACACUGGAACUGAGACGCGGUCCAGACUCCUACGGGAGGCAGCGGUAGGGAGUCUUCCACAAUGGGCGGAAGCCUGACGGAGCAACGCCGCGUGAGUGAUGAAAGUCUUCGGAUCGGAAAACUCUGUUAUUAGGGAAGAACAUAUGUGUAAGUAACUGGGCACAUCUUGACGGUACCUAAUCAGAAAGCCACGGCUAACUACGUG
rnacentral:rRNA from 1 species